GACGAACGCUGGCGGCGUGCUUAACACAUGCAAGUCGAACGGAAAGGCCCUGCUUUUGUGCGGUGCUCGAGAGGCGAACGGGUGAGUAACACGUGAGUAACCUGCCCCUGACUUUCGGAUAACUUCAGGAAACUGGGGCUAUUACCGGAUAGGAGUUCUUGCUGCUCGGUGGGGGUUGGUAAGUUUCGGCGUUUGGGGAUGGACUCGAAGCUUAUCAGCUUGUUGGUGUAGUAGUGGCUUACCAAGGCUUAGACGGGUAGCCGACCUGAGAGGGUGACCAGACACAUUGCGCCUGCGAGACGAACCAGACUCGAACGGGAGGCAGCAGUGGAGAGUAUUGCACAGUACGCGGGAGCAUGAUGCAGCAGCGCUGCGCGCGGGAUGACGUGCUUCCGGUUGAAAACAACUUUCGCAUGUGACGAAGCGUGAUUGACGGUAAUGGGUCAAAAAGCACCGGCUAACUACGUG
rnacentral:rRNA from 1 species